rnacentral:rRNA from 1 species
CGGGUGUGGAAGCACAGUAAUGUGUGUAGCUAACCGAUACUAAUAGCUCGAUUGAUUUACUUUG